AUGAACGCUAGCUACAGGCUUAACACAUGCAAGUCGAGGGGAAACGACAUCGAAAGCUUGCUUUUGAUGGGCGUCGACCGGCGCACGGGUGAGUAACGCGUAUCCAACCUGCCCAUCACUUGGGAAUAACCUUGCGAAAGUAAGACUAAUACCCAAUGAUAUCCCACGAAGGCAUCGGAAUGGGAUUAAAGAUUUAUCGGUGAUGGAUGGGGAUGCGUCUGAUUAGCUUGUUGGCGGGGUAACGGCCCACCAAGGCAACGAUCAGUAGGGGUUCUGAGAGGAAGGUCCCCCACAUUGGAACUGAGACACGGUCCAAACUCCUACGGGAGGCAGCAGUGGGGAAUAUUGGUCAAUGGGCGAGAGCCUGAACCAGCCAAGUAGCGUGCAGGAAGACGGCCCUAUGGGUUGUAAACUGCUUUUAUAAGGGAAUAAAGUGGGUCACGUGUGACUUUUUGCAUGUACCUUAUGAAUAAGGACCGGCUAAUUCCGUG
rnacentral:rRNA from 1 species